rnacentral:tRNA from 1 species
AGUGAUGUGCCUGAAUAAAAAGGGAUAUCAUGAUAGGAUAUAUAAUGUAAUUUAAUUACCAUCACUA